UCCAAAGAGACCAGAGCUGAGAGAUGGU
rnacentral:piRNA from 1 species